rnacentral:rRNA from 1 species
UUAAAUUGAAGAGUUUGAUCAUGGCUCAGAUUGAACGCUGGCGGCAGGCCUAACACAUGCAAGUCGAACGGUAACAGGAAACAGCUUGCUGUUUCGCUGACGAGUGGCGGACGGGUGAGUAAUGUCUGGGAAACUGCCUGAUGGAGGGGGAUAACUACUGGAAACGGUAGCUAAUACCGCAUAAUGUCGCAAGACCAAAGAGGGGGACCUUCGGGCCUCUUGCCAUCGGAUGUGCCCAGAUGGGAUUAGCUAGUAGGUGGGGUAACGGCUCACCUAGGCGACGAUCCCUAGCUGGUCUGAGAGGAUGACCAGCCACACUGGAACUGAGACACGGUCCAGACUCCUACGGGAGGCAGCAGUGGGGAAUAUUGCACAAUGGGCGCAAGCCUGAUGCAGCCAUGCCGCGUGUAUGAAGAAGGCCUUCGGGUUGUAAAGUACUUUCAGCGGGGAGGAAGGGAGUAAAGUUAAUACCUUUGCUCAUUGACGUUACCCGCAGAAGAAGCACCGGCUAACUCCGUGCCAGCAGCCGCGGUAAUACGGAGGGUGCAAGCGUUAAUCGGAAUUACUGGGCGUAAAGCGCACGCAGGCGGUUUGUUAAGUCAGAUGUGAAAUCCCCGGGCUCAACCUGGGAACUGCAUCUGAUACUGGCAAGCUUGAGUCUCGUAGAGGGGGGUGGAAUUCCAGGUGUAGCGGUGAAAUGCGUAGAGAUCUGGAGGAAUACCGGUGGCGAAGGCGGCCCCCUGGACGAAGACUGACGCUCAGGUGCGAAAGCGUGGGGAGCAAACAGGAUUAGAUACCCUGGUAGUCCACGCCGUAAACGAUGUCGACUUGGAGGUUGUGCCCUUGAGGCGUGGCUUCCGGAGCUAACGCGUUAAGUCGACCGCCUGGGGAGUACGGCCGCAAGGUUAAAACUCAAAUGAAUUGACGGGGGCCCGCACAAGCGGUGGAGCAUGUGGUUUAAUUCGAUGCAACGCGAAGAACCUUACCUGGUCUUGACAUCCACAGAACUUUCCAGAGAUGGAUUGGUGCCUUCGGGAACUGUGAGACAGGUGCUGCAUGGCUGUCGUCAGCUCGUGUUGUGAAAUGUUGGGUUAAGUCCCGCAACGAGCGCAACCCUUAUCCUUUGUUGCCAGCGGUCCGGCCGGGAACUCAAAGGAGACUGCCAGUGAUAAACUGGAGGAAGGUGGGGAUGACGUCAAGUCAUCAUGGCCCUUACGACCAGGGCUACACACGUGCUACAAUGGCGCAUACAAAGAGAAGCGACCUCGCGAGAGCAAGCGGACCUCAUAAAGUGCGUCGUAGUCCGGAUUGGAGUCUGCAACUCGACUCCAUGAAGUCGGAAUCGCUAGUAAUCGUGGAUCAGAAUGCCACGGUGAAUACGUUCCCGGGCCUUGUACACACCGCCCGUCACACCAUGGGAGUGGGUUGCAAAAGAAGUAGGUAGCUUAACCUUCGGGAGGGCGCUUACCACUUUGUGAUUCAUGACUGGGGUGAAGUCGUAACAAGGUAACCGUAGGGGAACCUGCGGUUGGAUCACCUCCUUACCUUAAAGAA